UUCGCCGGGUCUGGGAUCACUUCCGGUUCUUCUGUUGCUGCUGCUAAAAGAACCAGAGAAACAGGUGACUGGAAGUCUCGUCAUGCACAGGGAGAUCGCCUCCAGGCAGAAACAGCCGAAGGAGAACGAGCUUGACUAGCAAUAACCUGAAAACCUACGUGCAGAAAUGAGCUGAUCUAAAGCAUGAGAAACUUAGGGCCAAAUUAAGAACAGAAUUUACACCUACUUCUACCAUGAGCCAGGACAUAGCAACGGAUUCAGGUCAUCUCUGCCAGCUUUGUGUGAAAAUCUGAAGCUAUACACUCCCAUGGCCCAAAGACCACAGCUUCACGGGUGACACGGCUUUAGUUUUCCUUACGGAGAAUACUAGACCAUUAUUUGGGCCCCAUCCUUCCCUCUCCCUUUCCCCUUCUCUUCCCUUCCUCUCUCUGUCUCCUAAUCUCUUUCUCUUUCGAGAACAGUGGGUGCUCGCAGAGGCUAUAAGCUCAGCAAUGUGCAUAAAAUGGUUUUAUUCCCACAGUGGGCCUGUUCUACAGAGAUGCUCCGAGCACAGAAUCUUCUGGAAAUUUAGAGCAGCAACUGAGAUCACCGAGGGUAUUUGUUCGCCUUGCAGCACUGGGGUUCAAACACAGGAUUUUGUGCAUGGUGGGCAAGUAUUCUACUACUAAGCCAUACUCCUAGCCCUCAGAUUGUGGAUUUGAAUCAAGUUCUGUAGUUUAUUUUCCCAUGACACAUGAAUAAGAUUUUACUGUAUCUGUGCCCAAGUAAACCAGUACCUCUCAGUACAGAAUGUGUGCAUAUGUUUUGUCCCUGACUUGGGAUGUUUCCCUCACUCUUAGUUUUGUGAGAUGUGAUCUCACACUGAACGUGACGCUCUGGCGAAGGUACUGGCUAGCAAGCUCCAGGGAUUCUAUUGUUUUAAUCUGACUUGUGGUGGACUUGGAUAACAAUGAUCCCCAUAGGUUGAUGCAUUUCUAAUGCUGAGCCACCUGGGACUAGAACUCUGAAAGGAUUAGAAAGACUGGGAGGUGGCUAAAGGAGUUGUGUUAGUACGGGUGGGCUCAGCCUCUCUCUCUCUCCCUGUUGCUCUCAGAUCUGGCUGCAAAGCUCUCAGCUAUUUCUCCAGCAACAUGCAUGCCAUCAUGCUACGCUCCACGAUGAUAAUGGACUACCCUCCCAAACUACAAGCCAGCCUCCAGUUUCCUUACAGGAAUUGCCUCGGUCACGGUGUCUCUUCACGGCAACAGAACACUGACUAAGACACCCGAGAGAUGGCGUUUUAGAUACUCAUUGCUUCUCAUAUAUGAGCCAGGGCCCUGACCACAGGUCUGUGUAGGGAACACUUUACUGACCGAGCCAUCUUUGCAGCCCUGGCAAAAGUCUUCACUGGUAGAUUACUCAGCACAGGCUAAUCAGUGACCACGUCGUUACUGCAUAGGAGGGAAGAUCUGUCAGCAGAAGGUAGGCGUAGAUGGUGGAGCCUCCUAUUUGGUUAGCAUUACUGCUGUGUUGUAUGUGUGCACUUGGCAUUAAAGGGAGCGCAGAGUGUUGGAACUACUCGACAAAAAAGAUCUUCUCACCUCAAGUAACGAAAGAAAUGAGACAAUAACCAUCCUGCUUUCAUGCUUUGGGGAAGCCAAAUAAUAGAGUUCUGUACUGUUGGGGAGCUAGUGAACGGGGAUAUAUUUACGCUAAAGGGAGUAUGGGGCAAGGUGUGUGUCAGUAAUAAGGGGUUACACCUUCUCUACACUCACUAUAGUGUUGAGACGUCAAAGUUACGAUGCCUAUUCGGAGUAAACGUGGCUUUGGCCGAAGAUCACUGGGAAACAAGAGAGGGAAGUUAAAGCAAAAUGCUGGGCGUGUAUCCUCCUCACACGCAGUGUUUAGAGUGGAGAAGGCUACAAACAACUAAAUAUGAGUUUCAAGCGAAAUGUUUGCAGAGUGAUAAACGUGGGUAGCAGGAGACACUGGGGAAAGAAACAACUCUGAUAAUGUCACCGGUAUUUUUUUCCCCCCUCCCACAAAUGGCAGGAUCAGAAAAGUCUCUUCCUCAGGGAAAACUUUGCAAUAUUAAAAUGUAGGCACUGUAUGUAAUUAAAAGGCAAAUGCACUUGACAUUUUUGUUGGCACAAACUCAGAAUGCCAGAACUGGGCCAGUCAUCCAAACAUGCCAUUCAAAGCCUAAGCAGGAAAAUUAAAACAACAACAACAACAACAACAACAAAAGGAUUUAAUUUGAAUAUUAUUAGGAAAACAAAUAGAAGUCAAGGAAAGUCUGUGACAACCUUCAAGGGUAAGGGUGAAAUAUGAUCUAAAAUGCUAAGCAGGACCUACCGGUUGACCUAUUUCCACCGUUCUUACUUAUAAACCAAAGGAUUAAGAGUGCUUGCUAUUUUGGUUCCUUUUAGUUAUGAAUUUUAUUUUCCUUUUGAGCAGGUCAUUUUCCACCAAGGCUUAGAUAAUUCAUUAAUCUGGCAUAUCUCAGGAGAACACACAACAGGGUUUAAAUCACAUUAAUAGAGGUUGCACUGCAAUUUUCAAAAGUGUUUAUUUACUAAAUUAGAGACUGCCCUGAUAUGGGAAUGGAAGAACCAGAAUUUAAAAAAAAAUAUUUUAUUUGACUCACAGCUGUUCCAAGAUAAUUUAGUAUAAAGUUUAAAUUAUUAAUGUAUGCUUUAGAAUUUGAGAUUGGUUUUUAAUCCUAAAAUGUCAUUUGGUCUCCAGUGAUUAAGUAAAUCACAGGCACAUGUUUUUCCAUAUCUUUUUCUUACCCUGUGUGUACGUGUGUAUAUGUGUGUGUGUGUGUGUGUGUGUGUGUGUGUGUGUGUGUGUGUGUGCAUAUAUGUGCGUAUGUGUGUGUGAAAAAUUUGGAAAGGGACUAAAUUCAGGUCAUCAGGCUUGGUGACAAGAGCUUUACCUGGCUGAGGCAACUUGCUGGUUCUAAAAAUCACACUUUAAAAUGGUUCUGAUCAUCCAAAAUUUCCCAAUAACCAAUUUCUAACUGUCAAAAUACCAUAUAUAUAUAUAUAUCCAAUAUUUACUCUUAAGAUUAUAUAUUAAGUGUACUUACAUCCAAUAUAUUGAUCCACUUACAGAUAAUAACCCAUUUUGACUCACAGCUUUCUCCUAGUCCAAACAGGACCCUUUUGAUAUAAGAAAGGUAUCUUUCUCUACCAUGAAGACUUUCCUACCCUGGUCUUCUGAUUUCUUGACCUUUGUUGGUGCUACUACACACGCACACACACACACACACACACACACACACACACACACACACUAUCACAUAUGAUAUAUAUCACAACCAACAGUGAUGGAACACUGUACUUUCUUGUUGCUUUGAGAAUGUUUGGCUGAGGGAUCAAAGCAGGACUCUAAAUAAGGCCGCUAUGAACAUGGUGGAGCACGUGUCUUUGUUAUAUGUUGAAGCAUCUUUUGGGUAUAUGCCCAAGAGAGGUAUAGCUGGGUCCUCAGGCAGUUCAAUGUCCAAUUUUCUGAGGAACCUCCAGACUGAUUCCCAGAAUGGUUGUACCAGUCUGCAAUCCCACCAACAAUGGAGGAGUGUUCCUCUUUCUCCACAUCCUCGCCAGCAUCUGCUGUCGCUGGAGUUUUUGAUCUUAGCCAUUCUCACUGGUGUGAGGUGGAAUCCCAUAUGUACAACAAUGCCAACCAACCAGAGCUUCCAGGGACCAAGCCACUACCUAAAGACUAUACAUGGACUGACCCUGGACUCUGACCUCAUAGGUGGCAAUGAAUAUCCUAGUAAGAGCACCAGUGGAAGGGGAAGCCCUUGGUCCUGCCAAGACUGAACCCCCAGUGAACGGGAUUGUUGUGUGUGGGGGAAGACGGUAAUGGGGGGAGGGUUGGAAGGGGAACACCCAUAGAGAAGGGGAGGGGGAGAGGUUAGGGGGAUGUUUGCCUGGAAACAGAGAAAGGGAAUAACAAUUGAAAUGUAAAUAAGAAAUACCCAAGUUAAUAAAGAUGGAGAAAAAAAAAAGAAAUAAAAUACACACUAUUCCCAAGCAGGAAAAAAAAAAAAAAAAGCAGGACUCUAGGACUCCACAGAUGCUGGACAAGGGCUCUACUCUAAGCUACUUACUUCCUGGACCUAGAGAGGAGUGGUUUUAUUUGUCUUGUCUUUUCUCUAAACAAGAUUUUGAUGUUGUCUUGAUAUCUUGCAUGGAUAUCACUAUAUGGACUAAGCUAGCCUGGAUCUCAGAGAUUACUUGCCUCUUCCUCUUGAGUUCUGGGAUUAAACAAGGCAGAAUCUUAGAGCAAGCAAGGGAUUCUGACGUCUCCCUCAUAUUUACUCGGGGAUUUAUAUAACACAUUGGAAUAUUUGUUUCUUUACCAGUGGAAUGGAUGCCUGAAAUUCUUCUAUACCUACUCGAGGAAACAAAUAAAGCAAUGUUGAAGAAAGCUCAUAAGAAUCCGGUUCUCACAAGGAGUCAACUGGGAAGAGAAAACCUUAAUUUAAAACGCGUCCUCACAGAAACGGCCUGUAGCAUCCUCUGACUGGACCACAGAUGGGAAGCCAGGAGACACCUGACCAGUGUGUGAGGGCUUCAUUUUGCAAUGUGAAAGAGAGAUGGAAAAUGGACGUAUUUGUUGUUGGGGACAUCUGCUGGCUUCUGAAAGAAGAAACAGAGCGAUGAAGAGUCUCAGAGGGGCCAUGUGAAGGCCGAGCUGGAAACGGGAGGGAGCAUCCAUGAAGAGAACUUUAUAGAAGUCUAAAUAUAGAAAACAGCUUCUCACAGCAGGGAAACCAUAGGAUACAUUGACUCGCCCAAAAUACACACUCCUAGCAUUUUUUUCACUGUUACAGAUUGCUACGGUCUCUGUCUGGUAGAAUAGGACUUUGGACAGCUGUAUUCACAGUUUGAACUUUUGGUCUGAUGACAGAAAAGGGAUGCGGCAAAAUGCUUAUUAUGAAUUUUAUUGCUUAGGGAUACCUUCAAGAAAAAGUAAAAAGUAUUUUUUUAGAAGAGGACACAGAGUUCGGUAGAUAGGGAGGGUGGGGAGAUCUGGGUAGAGUUGGAGGGAGAAAUGUGAAUACAUUAAAAACUGGAUGAAACUCUCAACUAAUAAAAGCAAAUAAAUGCAGAGUUUUGAAAGCUGAUCUUUUAAUUAUUUGAACACUAGUGUAACAGGAGUCAGACAUGACUAGAUAGUAGAUAUUAUUUGCUACUUAGAAAGAUUACCUAAAACUCUUUCCUUUCGAUGCUGCAUCUGCUGAGUAUGCCCAGGGUACAGAAGAGGCUCGCCUCUAGUAUCCUCCUCUGUGGUAAAAAGAAGGCCAGUUGGACCCCAAAGAGAUAAACGAAAUCACCAACACCAACUCCUGUCAGUCGAUCAGGAAGCUGAUCAAAGAUGGGCUGAUGAUCGGAAGCCUGUGACUGUCCAUUGCUGGGCCCGACGGAAGGGCAGCCAUAUGGGCAUAGGGAAGGGGAAGGGCACUGCCAAUGCUCCGAUGCCCAAGGAGGUGACCUGGGUGAGGAUCCUGCACCGGUUUCUCAGGACAUACUGGGAAUCUAAGAAGAUUGACCGCCAUAUGUAUCAUGGCCUGUACCUUAAGUUCAAACGGAAUGUAUUAAAAAAUAAGAGGACUUUCAUGGAGCACAUUCACAAACUGAAGGCAGACCGGGCCCACAGAAGCUACUGGCUGACCAGGCGGAGGCUCGCAAGUCUAAGACCAAGGAAGCAUAAAGUGCUGGGAGGAGCAUCAAGAGGAGAGGCUCCAGGUCAAGAAGGAAGUGAUCAUCAAGACUCUGUCCAAGGAGGAAGAGACUAAGGCACAAAGCUUCCCUCAUGUCUGUAUAUAGUGGCCUGGCUGUGGCCUCACACAGAUCACAGAUUAAAAUAAAAAAAGUCUUAAAAAAAAAAGAAAGAAAAAUGACUUAAAAUUUAUUUUGGGAGGAGUUCUGCAGCCUGAAUCUUUCUCCCUUUUGCCUUCUGUUCAAAACUAUACUAAAUUAUUCUAUGAUAGUGCUAUUUGAUGUGCAAACUAUACUGCCAGGAAUGGACUCAAAUACGGUUUUUAAAAAUUUUUAAGGGCUGGAGAGAUGGCUCAGCGGUUAAGAGCACUGACUGCUCUCCCAGAGGUCAUGAGUUCAAUUCCCAGCAACCACAUGGUGGCUCACAACCAUCUGUAAAGAGAUCUGAUGCCCUCUUCUGGUGUAUCUGAAGACAGCUACAGUGUACUUAUAUAUAAUAAAUAAAUAAAUCUUUAAAAAAAUUUUUUUUAAAAGUAUGGUUUUCCACAGCAAGCCUAUCACUACCAAAAAAAUGUAUAAGUUCAAUAUCAGGUGAAAAAUGUAUUAUUUGGUGUAUCUUAUGUUAACUACAUUUUUAAAACUACUAAAAUUUACCAGUGAAUUUUCAGAGAACUUGGGGCAGCACAACACAGUAAUAACACGGGAUGGCUUUGUUCUGUACAGCUAAGGAAAGGAACCCAUUUGAGGACUGGACCAUAUUACUGGUAUAGUUAAGAACAGGACUGCAUCCAUGGAACUCGUGUUUAAGGUCAGUUGGCCCUAAGCUGAGAAUUUCUGGGCCCUACACAUGGAUGUGGGAAACAGCCCUGCUCUUCAGAUGAAAGUGUAAACCUUAUUCUACCUGGUAGAUCUGAGCGUCCCGACGCAGUGAGACUUAAAUUAAUGCAUACUGAGACGUAAAAUGACUGCAGUAGAAACUCCAUCAGAUGUACUUGAAGGUGGGAUUUUAUGAGGUCAUUGGGGAUGUGUCCCAUGGGGCCGUGGGGAUACGUCCCUAUAAAUACGUCUGUGGCUUUAUAACAGGAAGGGAGACCCCAGUAACCAAUAUGGAUGUCUCACUACAUUAUUCCCUGAACUCCUUGGGAUGCCACAGAGGACCAACUAGCAAGAGACACUCAGCACAAUCAGUUCUUUGACAAUGGACUUCUACAGCAGUGCGAGGAAUCAACAGAGACCUGGCACGCCAAGUUAUUUGAGCUGCACUCUUCACUUAAAGCAACAGAAAGCAGUCCGGGAUACUGCCGAUGUUCUGAGCGAGACUCUUGCUGCGUGUGCACUGCCCUGAAGGGGUGUCUGUACCCUUCUGCCCUUCCUGUUUAACUCUUCCACACUCUGCUCUCGCCGCACCUCACUUUUAGUUGUAGAGUUCCACUAAAGUUCUGUGAGGACAUAUUUUUAAAAAAAAUGACAAAACAAAGAAACAUGCAACCGCUUUUCCUUUAAUAUGCUUUUUUUUAAAAAGUAAAGAUUACUUUUAUCUCUUAUUAUUUUCAACUCAAAUGGAGGACAUUUCUAGUACCAUCGGAAAAUUCAGCUUUACUUUCUAUAUUUCCUUUAUCCUCUAAAUAGGCUUCUAACCUAUGCCUGUAGUUCAAAGCCACUUAAAUAUUCUUAGUCAUAGCAGAGCUUAUCCUUUGGGUCUAUAGCCUGAACGAGCACAUGAAACGCAAUUCCUUGUAUGAGCCCGUCAAACAUCGGGAUGGACACACGUUGUCCUGCUGCUUCACCAUGCAUUUAGUAAUCGAAUCAACUAUAAGCACACGGCCCCAAGCACUGGCAGUGUAAGCGAUGAUGUUUGUAGUAGAAGAACGUUACUAUGGCAUCGGCGAAUCAGGCUCAUAGGAAAUCUGGUUUACCGGAACGUUUUCAAGAAAAAGGAAAAGAUUGAUGGCUGCUGGUACCAUGUUUACACGAACAAUGAGCGUAAACUUAGCAUCGAGAAUGAAAAUUAAUGAGAAUAUUUUCCUUGUCGUGCAGAACCAGAACUGAAUUUUACAGUCUCUGAGAGCGUCCUGUAUUUCUCACUAGACUGUAACAUUCGUGGCAGAGCUUUGCAUCCAUUCAUUAGAAGUGGCCACAGAAAGAUAACGGAGGAUAAACCAGGAGCUGCAGAUUUGGCAUUGCCAGCCGAGGUCAUACCAGCCUACUUUGUUUAAAGUAUAAUAAAUGUGCAUCUUUAACACAAGUGCAGUAAACUGUACCAAGGCAUCCCAGUCAUGAGUUCUAUUGCUGUGAUCAAACUCCAUGACCAAAAGCAAUGUGGGAUGGAAAGGGCUUUGGAAUUUGGCUUACAUAUCCAGAGUCACAGUUUGUUGAAGGAAGCACAGAAAGGGACUCAAACUUGCCAGGAACCUGGUGGCCAUGAAGGAGCUGUGCUUACUGGCUUGCUACUCCUGCUUACUCAGCUUGCUUUGUUAGAGCAACCACCAACCCAGGGGUACCCACCCCGGAUAGGAUCGGUCUUUCCCCAGAAUUGGUAAUUAAGAAAACGACCUCCGGGCUUGCCAACCGAUGGAUCUGAUAGACACAUUUUCACAACUGAGGUUGCAUUCAGCGUGUAUGAACUUGGCUGACGACCAACACUCGUAUUAGACACUCUCCCCAGAGGCUGGCCUUUGCUUUCCUUCAUUAGUUUCUAUGAAAUCAUAUUCCAAAGUCUCUGAUUGAGAUAGAUUGUUUCCUCCAGCUUUUGUUAUAUCAGUUAUUUAAGCCGAACCUCAAAGGAGGCAACACAUAAAUCUUUUUCUAAAUUGUCCCACCUUAUGGAAAAAAAGAAUAAGUAAACACAUUUAAAUAAAGAUGAAAAUCAAUGUUUUUUAGAUUAGAAAAGUCUGGUUUUUAUUUCCCUCUGCAUAAGGUGCUGACUAAACACUAAGAGAAAAGGUCGUAAAGUAAUUUUCUUCGUGCACAUCGGCUUCCCGCAGCCGCAGGAUGGUAUUUCAAGUCUGCUGGCUGAAAUAAUACAUACCCUGAUUACAGUUCUGGGACUGAGGGAUCCAAAGGCAGCACGAAGGGGUCAAAACCAGAUGUCACCCACUCUCAAGACUCUUUGCAAGCAUAAUUUCCCAGCCUCUACCUGCGGCUUGUGGCUGCAGGCAGUCCUGGACAUGGGGCUAUGUUGCGUGGCUCUCUGCCUCUCUGGUCACAUUGAUAUGGGAGAGAAGUGGCUCUUGAAAGUUGUUCUCUGAUCUCCACACACAUGCAGCACACUUGCAUAUGUGUACACAAAAUCCCUAGCCACACAUAAAGUAUAUAAUAUAUAUACAUACACACACACAUAUAAAAUAAAACGAUGAGGGUAAUUGAGGAACAUGCUUGAUGUCAAACUCUGGAUUCUCACAUGAGGGAGACACAUGAACAUACGUGAACACGUGUAUAUACAUAUCAAACCACCUCAAACCACCAAUUUCUACAUCAGAUAGACCUAGGCAGGCGUAGUCAUAUGACACUGUUCCUAAUUGCUUUGACUGCUUGUAGAACCUUUCAUCAGCCCCACUCAUUCGUAUCAUCCAUAUCCAUUCCUGUUGCAGAAUGUGUCAGGCUUUCUUUUACCUAAGUUUAUACUUUGCUUUCACUUCCUGGUUUGGGCAUCAAGUGAUCUUUCCUUCACAUCCAAUAAAGGAACACUGUCUGGACGUGGUAGCUGUUUUCGCAAUAGCCCAAAUAAUUGUGCUUUCACUAUGGGUGCGAACCUCAACCUAUGUAAGUUAUUGAAAAAACGUGUCCAGAAGAGGAACACUGUCCUUGACCUAGAACUCUAGCUAGUGUCCCAUUUCUUUCACCAAUUUAAAUAAAAAGUGUCAUCUGCUGUUUUACCUGUGGAGGUAACAUAAUUAUCUACUGAUAAUUUCAGUGCAACCUAGCAAAAAGGAUGACAGAUCCUUCUAAUUUCCGUGCAACCUAGCAGGAAGGAUAACAGAUCCUUUUCGAAAUUCCUCACAUCGGAAUGUUCAGGGGAGUUUGUGAUUCCUGACAGCUCUCACCAUAAACCAUGGCAUUUACAGCCAGCAUCUGCUUUGCUGCUAACAGUUUCCCUGGCAAACAGGGAAACAUUUACAACUCUUAGGUCACCAGGAUGUGUUUACCCAUCCCAACCUUGUCUAACUAUGUUUCAAAAGGUCCUUAAAAAGCACAAUCUACCCCUGGACAUGUAUCUGGAUUGUCCAUAGCUAUGUAUUAUCUGGAUGGACACUCUAUUACCUAAUUCUAUAGUGAAAUCUCCAUGCUGGGCAGUGAUGUAUGUCAUACAGUGUGGUGCUCACAUGACAGGAAUAACACACCAGCCUCAUUCAGAGUUCAGAGUCUUCAGAAAACUGGGUGCCUAAAAAACCUGACCUUUUAAAUUUUCAUCCACAGUCUCUUCUGUUGAAUGAAUACUCAUCCAAAAGCCUCAUAAAUGCCAAGUUCUUCUAAUAUAUUAUUUCAAUUAACUUCCCCAAGCUCCUCUGGGCUUGCUGUAUCUCCUUUCACAGGGAAGGGUGAGGACACAACGGCUGGUAGUCCGUAUCUCUACCCCAUAGUGCAGUGUGGCUCCCUUACUGACAGUUCUGACGCUACGCCAUUCUAAUCCCAACCCAAACAUAGCCUUGAUGUGUGCUUUAUUUUUAAAGAUGCUAUUAUUGCCCCGCUGAAAGGCAAUCAUGGAGGUCGGGAAAGGGAAGAGCAUAAGUUAUAGUAAGCACCUGACUUAUAACUGCCUGUAGCCCUUAGAAAUAAAAACCUGUGGUAAGAUAAAAUAAGCCAGAACGUGGGAAAAACCUCAGGGAAGAGACUAAUUACAAAUAAGUACGAGUCCUAAUCCUUGAAGUUAUAAAAAAACGUUUUAAGCAUUUGAUGGAAGAAACAGGUAAAAAAAAAAAAACCUGUUAGAAUCCAUGCUCUUGGAUCUACUACUGUCUUCGGUUAGGCUCCCUGGAGCAGAGCCUGGGACAAGGAUUCAGGUAAUAGAAAUCAUAAAGGGCGAGCUUUCGGGGUGAAAGGAAGAGAGGGAAGCAGGACAGAUUGGGCAAGCGGAUAAGGAAAGACAUAGUCUAGGCUAAAGACUCGAUUCCACGUGACCUCUGAGGGAGCUCUGGAAUUGCUGCGUCAUGAGGUUAGAAGGCUGGUCUUCCACAUCCUGUCCGUGCUAGAGGACUGCUAAGGCUGAAACACGUUAACCCAAGUCCCUGCCCAGAGACAGAUCUCUGUGGGGUUCCCACCCUCUAGCAGCUAGCACUUAUAGAAAAAGGGAGAGUUACAAACCAGGUUAAAGGGAUCUGUUUGGAAAAUCAACAGCAACUAGAGUCAUGGCACAAUCAGCCUUCAGUUUUCAGCAAUAAUUGGCACUUUAGGAGUAAUAUAGACCAGUAAGGAAACGCACACAGGCGCGCAUGCGCAAGCACGCACGCACGCAAAGACAAAACCCCAUUUUAUCUGUAAUUCUAGCUCAGCCAGAAAUGACUCCAAAUGGUCAGAAUAAAUGGAAUCAACUGGAGCACAUGCUUGAAGUCUGAUUUUCCCAUUAAGUGACUGUGUAAUCAGAGAUGCUGAAGUUUCUCAGUUCCCCGCCUAUCCUUGAGACAGCUUCCUUGGAUGAGUUUAUCUCAUCAAGGCCUUGUGUGUGACUCACUCAGAAAGGAGAGGGCAUCAUGGAUUUCACAGAACGAGUGAGGUUCGUCAGGUAGCAGUUGGGGGUUUCCCUUGAAAAGCGAGGCCCCAUCAGGUUUGCCUGUUAUAAACUUAAGGGAGCUUCCACAAAAAGAAUUCUCAAAAAUAUGCCGGUCUCAUACCUAACCUUUUACAUGGAAGUUAUUAGGGGUGUCUGAAUGCUGUGUGUCAGUCCCAUAACAUUUGUUUUUCUCUUCCCACAAAUAGUUCUUAGACCAACUAGAUUCAAAGA